AAAAAACCCACAAGGCAAUCAAAAUUUGAAUUCAAAAGAAAGUUUAAAAUACAAUUUUUUGUCUUAACCCUAUCCCAAACCAUUCGAUGGUCACCUCGUUUUGAACUUGAAGUACAUUUUCCACACAGUGCCUGCCAAAUAUGUACGAACUAUUUUGAUACUGUAUGUAAUUAGGAAUUUUCACACCUGAAUUUAUAUAGAUUGGAGAUAUAUUCACUUCUGAAAUUAUAGAGUAAUAUAAAUUUCUGAAAGUUUUUACUUUUAAAAACAUAAUAACAAAUAAGCUAAUAUCUCAGCAAUUUUAGUAUAAAGAUUAUUUAAAAGUUUCCGGUUUUAGGUCAGAUUAUAUGAAUAUCUUGGAGGUGGGAUGUUGUUUUUUAAACUAUAUGUGCGAUCCAUUUGCUUUUGUGUGUGUAUACAUAUAUAUCUUUAAUUUGAAUUGAUGUGUGCAUUUGCCACACUUAACGGAAGUCGCCCUCUUGUUCAUUGUAUUGUUAGAUCCGCCUCUUCUUGUAAACGUAUUACGACACACGAAAUGACGUCACUCCUUGAGCCUGUAUAUGUUUUCAUGUCUUUUGCUUGGACUAUUAUACAUUAUAUUUACCUGCUGUUCUGUGGACAGUGCGUGUGACCUAUUUAUUAGGCCUAGUCAUCCAUAAUUUUGCCGAUUGACUUCUUACGGAAAAGGUUCUGUGCUUCGCUUUGCGAUAUCGCCUAGACCUUGACAAUUUACAGAGAAUAUUUUAAUUCCCAUCAAUUAUUGAAAACAAGGUGUCGAGACCUGCUGGAAGCUGAACUGAAAUGAAAUAAACGAUUUCCUGCACGCAUGUAUACAGACUGAAAAAGAGGGAGACGAUAGUAAAGAAGGCUAAGAAAGAGAGAAACGAAAGCAUAUGAAAGAAAUAAAGCAUUAAAAAAUAUAUGUAAUGACAACUAGUUCUUGUUACUCUUUUUUUUUUUAAAUACAGGCAAGUGUCCUACUUGGUUAUUUGUUUUGUCCAAUAU